UACGGAAGGCAGCAGCGGGGAAUAUUGCACAAUGGGCGCAAGCCUGAUGCAGCCAUGCCGCGUGUAUGAAGAAGGCCUUCGGGUUGUAAAGUACUUUCAGUCGUGAGGAAGGUGUUAAGGUUAAUAACCUUAGCAAUUGACGUUAGCGACAGAAGAAGCACCGGCUAACUCCGUGCCAGCAGCCGCGGUAAUACGGAGGGUGCGAGCGUUAAUCGGAAUUACUGGGCGUAAAAGGGCACGCAGGCGGUUAAUUAAGUUGGAUGUGAAAUCCCCGGGCUUAACCUGGGAAUGGCAUUCAAGACUGGUUAGCUAGAGUCUUGUAGAGGGGGUAGAAUUCCAUGUGUAGCGGUGAAAUGCGUAGAGAUGUGGAGGAAUACCGGGUGGCGAAGGCGGCCCCUGGGACAAAGACUGACGCUCAUGUGCGAAAGCGUGGGGAGCAAACAGGAUUAGAUACC
rnacentral:rRNA from 1 species